CUCGUAGGUGGCCAACUAAGUCGGACGUGAAAUCCCUCGGCUUAACCGGGGAACUGCGUCUGAUACUGGAUGGCUUGAGUUUGGGAGAGGGACGCGGAAUUCCAGGUGUAGCGGUGAAAUGCGUAGAUAUCUGGAGGAACACCGGUGGCGAAGGCGGCGUCCUGGACCAAUACUGACACUGAGGAGCGAAAGCCAGGGGAGGCAAACG
rnacentral:rRNA from 1 species